AGCCCUCCCCACACUCUGGGCGCGGAGCACAAUGAUUGGUCACUCCUAUUUUCGCUGAGCUUUUCCUCUUAUUUCAGUUUUCUUCGAGAUCAAAUCUGGUUUGUAGAUGUGCUUGGGGAGAAUGGGGGCCUCUUCUCCAAGAAGCCCGGAGCCUGUCGGGCCGCCGGCGCCCGGUCUCCCCUUCUGCUGCGGAGGAUCCCUGCUGGCGGUUGUGGUGCUGCUUGCGCUGCCGGUGGCCUGGGGUCAAUGCAAUGCCCCAGAAUGGCUUCCAUUUGCCAGGCCUACCAACCUAACUGAUGAGUUUGAGUUUCCCAUUGGGACAUAUCUGAACUAUGAAUGCCGCCCUGGUUAUUAUGGAAGACCGUUUUCUAUCAUCUGCCUAAAAAACUCAGUCUGGACUGGUGCUAAGGACAGGUGCAGACGUAAAUCAUGUCGUAAUCCUCCAGAUCCUGUGAAUGGCAUGGUGCAUGUGAUCAAAGACAUCCAAUUCGGAUCCCAAAUUAAAUAUUCUUGUACUAAAGGAUACCGACUCAUUGGUUCCUCGUCUGCCACAUGCAUCAUCUCAGGUGAUACUGUCAUUUGGGAUAAUGAAACACCUAUUUGUGACAGAAUUCCUUGUGGGCUACCCCCCACCAUCACCAAUGGAGAUUUCAUUAGCACCAACAGAGAGAAUUUUCACUAUGGAUCAGUGGUGACCUACCGCUGCAAUCCUGGAAGCGGAGGGAGAAAGGUGUUUGAGCUUGUGGGUGAGCCCUCCAUAUACUGCACCAGCAAUGACGAUCAAGUGGGCAUCUGGAGCGGCCCGGCACCUCAGUGCAUUAUACCUAACAAAUGCACGCCUCCAAAUGUGGAAAAUGGAAUAUUGGUAUCUGACAACAGAAGCUUAUUUUCCUUAAAUGAAGUUGUGGAGUUUAGGUGUCAGCCUGGCUUUGUCAUGAAAGGACCCCCCCGUGUGAAGUGCCAGGCCCUGAACAAAUGGGAGCCGGAGCUACCAAGCUGCUCCAGGGUAUGUCAACCACCUCCAGAUGUCCUGCAUGCUGAGCGUACCCAAAGGGACAAGGACAACUUUUCACCCGGGCAGGAGGUGUUCUACAGCUGUGAGCCCGGCUACGACCUCAGAGGGGCUGCGUCUCUGCGCUGCACACCCCAGGGAGACUGGAGCCCUGCAGCCCCCACAUGUGAAGUGAAAUCCUGUGAUGGCUUCAUGGGCCAACUUCUUAAUGGCCGUGUGCUAUUUCCAGUAAAUCUCCAGCUUGGAGCAAAAGUGGAUUUUGUUUGUGAUGAAGGAUUUCAAUUAAAAGGCAGCUCUGCUAGUUACUGUGUCUUGGCUGGAAUGGAAAGCCUUUGGAAUAGCAGUGUUCCAGUGUGUGAAC
rnacentral:sRNA from 1 species